AUAGAAGAGAAAGAGCAACCAAAGAGUGAGAGCCGAUGCAGCCUUGUCAAGUCAGAACUACAAUCCCAGAAGUGGAAAAAAGUAUUAUGUUUAAGACAUUUCACUUGCCAAGAAGAGAAAAUACAGCACAUUGUAAAAUAUUAAAGUCAGUCAUUUUACAGAAGCAGGAAGGGUGCCUGGACAUCUGGCCAGUUUAAACCUUCUAAAACCUUUGCCAAUUUUCCGAUAUUUGGUUGCUGAAUCUGGCCUUCCAUCUGGCCACAGGAGACCCCAUAGCACAAUUCCAGGGAAUCAGCAUGAACCCCACCCCAUCUCCAAGUCUGCCCUUUACUCAAGUCCUCACUGAGGUUUUAGGCAAGUCAAGGCCAACCUGAAGAAGGCUUCUAACGAAGGAACCAUGAAUAUCUUUAAGUUGAAUUCCUUUACAUCGUUCAAGUUUUUGCUGCUGGGAAUGGUUAUGUGCGUUUUAGCAAAGUGAAGUGACUUGGGGCAAUCACUGAUAGUAUUGCCCGUGUCCCUCCAUUACUAGGGCUUCCAUGAGGACAUCUACCAACUCAUACAUUGAAAGGCAACCUUGGAACUUGUUCUACCAGCCUAGCUGAAGCUUUGUUACUCUACACCCUUCUAGGUGGUUUUAUAUCCACCAGAAUUUCAAAGGGAAAAACAAUCACCUUCUCGAAUGUCUGGG
rnacentral:lncRNA from 1 species